GCCGAGAUAGCUCAGCUGGGAGAGCAACAGACUGAAGUUCCGGCUUCCAAAUCCUGGUCGAAGAAUUCUGGAGGUCGCGUGUUCAAUCCACGCUCUUGGCA